rnacentral:sRNA from 1 species
GCCGGGUGUGGGGGCUCACACCUGUAAUCCCAGCACUUUGGGAGGCUGAGAUGGGAGGACUGCUUGAGCCCAGGAGUUCAAGGAUGCGGUGAGCUAUGAUCGUGCCACUGCACUCCAGCCUGAGCAACAGAGUGAGACCUUGUCUUAU